GCGCCUGUAGCUCAGUUGGAUAGAGCGUCGGACUUCGAAUCCGCAGGUCGGGAGUUCGAGUCUCCCCGGGCGCGCCA
rnacentral:tRNA from 1 species